UAGAUUUCUUCCAUCGCAAGUCUUCCAUACUCUGUAAGUACUUGCAAAUGUUGAAGAUCAUCUUCUUGAAUAUUCUGAGACAGAUUAUAUACCCAUUUUAAAAAAAUAUUUGCAAAUAUACUUCUUGAUACACCAUCACCAGCUGGGCCUAACCGCCAUACUUCAAUAAUUCAUUUUUCAGAGAUGUAUCAGCCACAGAUGAUCUCAGAAAAGAAAAAGUAAAGAAACACCAAAUGACAUGUGGUAGUUUAAUUCAGUCCAAUCCAUCUAAAUUAUACAGAAAAGAAAUGGCCUAGCCUGAAGAAACUAGAACCGGAUAGAACACCAAACACAAUUUGAAUAUAAGUGAAAAAGAGAAGGGAUUUUAUCCCUUCCUAAAUGAAGGUGCUAAAAAUCCUCAGUUUAUUAUUACAUAAGCCUUGUCUGGGUUUCCUAAAUUAAACAUUAAGUAAUUACUCUGCUUUUAUCUCCUUUAGUUCAAAUAACUGAGUACCACUUGUCAUAGAUACAGAAUAAAAAACUAGACUUCUAAGCUUAAUUACCUGGGUUUUUUGUUUGUUUUAGCCAAAAAAACAAAAAUAUACUCUCCA
rnacentral:lncRNA from 1 species